rnacentral:rRNA from 1 species
ACCGGCGCUCGGGUGAGUAACGCGUAUCCAACCUGCCCAUCACUUGGGGAUAACCUUGCGAAAGUAAGACUAAUACCCAAUGGUGAUGGAUGGGGAUGCGUCUGAUUAGCUUGUUGGCGGGGUAACGGCCCACCAAGGCAACGAUCAGUAGGGGUUCUGAGAGGAAGGUCCCCCACAUUGGAACUGAGACACGGUCCAAACUCCUACGGGAGGCAGCAGUGAGGAAUAUUGGUCAAUGGACGAGAGUCUGAACCAGCCAAGUAGCGUGCAGGAUGACGGCCUAUGGGUUGUAAACUGCUUUUAUAAGGGAAUAUGUACCUUAUGAAUAAGGACCGGCUAAUUCCGUGCCAGCAGCCGCGGUAAUACGGAAGGUCCGGGCGUUAUCCGGAUUUAUUGGGUUUAAAGGGAGCGUAGGCCGGAGAUUAAGCGUGUUGUGAAAUGUAGACGCUCAACGUCUGCACUGCAGCGCGAACUGGUUUCCUUGAGUACGCACAAAGUGGGCGGAAUUCGUGGUGUAGCGGUGAAAUGCUUAGAUAUCACGAAGAACUCCGAUUGCGAAGGCAGCUCACUGGAGCGCAACUGACGCUGAAGCUCGAAAGUGCGGGUAUCGAACAGGAUUAGAUA